UACGUAGGGGGCAAGCGUUGUCCGGAUUUAUUGGGCGUAAAGAGCGUGUAGGCGGUCUGGUAGGUCCGUUGUGAAAACUCGAGGCUCAACCUCGAGACGCCGAUGGAAACCAUCAGACUAGAGUCCGGAAGAGGAGAGUGGAAUUCCUGGUGUAGCGGUGAAAUGCGCAGAUAUCAGGAAGAACACCAGUGGCGAAGGCGGCUCACUGGACCGGUUCUGACGCUGAAGCGCGAAAGCGUGGGAGCAACGGG
rnacentral:rRNA from 1 species